CCCAAAAAUCUCUUCCUUAAUUAGUUGAAGCCUGCCUGCAUAACUUAGCAAUCUUGCAAACCAAAAAGUGAUUUUAGAUGUUAUCUUCUCAACCAAUAGCCAGCAUUGUGCUAUGGAUAUCUUACUAGUAGCAAAAGGUAUACCCAAGUACCUGAAUGGGAAGGUUCCAGCAGUAUAACCUAUUUCCUCAAGUAUUUUAUUCUCCAUCCUCUCCUAUAUGCCAGCCAAAUAUAGCUAACUUUUAUCAAUAUUCACUUGCAGUCCUAGAACUUGAGAAAAUUUCUUGAACGUCUGAUUAAGGAGUCUAAUAAACCCUAUCUCAGC
rnacentral:lncRNA from 1 species